rnacentral:rRNA from 1 species
AUUGAACGCUGGCGGCAUGCCUUACACAUGCAAGUCGAACGGCAGCACGGGGGCAACCCUGGUGGCGAGUGGCGAACGGGUGAGUAAUACAUCGGAACGUGCCCCGUAGCGGGGGACAACCAGUCGAAAGACUGGCUAAUACCGCAUACGCUCCACGGAGGAAAGCAGGGGAUCGCAAGACCUUGCACUAUGGGANCGGCCGAUGCCCGAUUAGCUAGUUGGUGAGGUAAAGGCUCACCAAGGCAACGAUCGGUAGCUGGUCUGAGAGGACGACCAGCCACACUGGGACUGAGACACGGCCCAGACUCUACGGGAGCAGCAGUGGGAAUUUGGACAAUGG